rnacentral:rRNA from 1 species
AUUGAACGCUGGCGGCAGGCCUAACACAUGCAAGUCGAACGAGUGGCGGACGGGUGAGUAAUGUCUGGGAACAUGCCUGAUGGAGGGGGAUAACUACUGGAAACGGUAGCUAAUACCGCAUACCAUCGGAUGUGCCCAGAUGGGAUUAGCUAGUAGGUGGGGUAAAGGCUCACCUAGGCGACGAUCCCUAGCGGGUUUGAGAGGAUGACCAGCCAAAUUGGAACGGAGACACGGGCCAGACUCCUACGGGAGGCAGCAGUGGGGAAUAUUGCACAAGGGGGGCAAGCCUGAUGCAGCCAUGCCGCGUGUAUGAAGAAGGCCUUCGGGUUGUAAAGUACUUUCAGCGGGGAGGCGUUACCCGCAGAAGAAGCACCGGCUAACUCCGUGCCAGCAGCCGCGGUAAUUC